rnacentral:rRNA from 1 species
AUUAACGCUAGCGGCAGGCAUAAUACAUGCAAGUUGAACGGCAGCACAGGUAGCAAUACCGGGUGGCGAGUGGCGCACGGGUGCGUAACACGUAUGCAACCUACCCUAUACAGGCGAAUAACCUUUAGAAAUGAGGGCUAAUACGCCGUGGUAUUAUCCUGGGGCAUCUUGAGAUAAUUAAAGAUUUAUCGGUAUAGGAUGGGCAUGCGUCCCAUUAGUUAGUUGGUAGGGUAACGGCCUACCAAGGCUAUGAUGGGUAGGGG